GCUAGCUCUGGGGCCACCAGUUUUAGACUGCAAGGGAAAAUUGGUGAAUGGAGUUAGCAUAGAGGGCAGCUGCCUGGCUAUAGUUUGGGAUUUCUUCUGAGCUGAAGCAGAAGGAAAGAUUUAGCAACUGUUUGUCGUGGCAGAAAAUCAUCUCUGAUCGUUUGUGGGGCAGAGGAUUGGAGUCAAGAAGAUAUAGACAAUUUCAAACGAGAAAUCCUGACCUGUGUUGUGUGGAGCUGUGUUUGCUUGAUGAACCUGUUAUAACUCCAUCCACCUUCACUCCAAGGAUAUGGUGCUUGGGACUACUGCAGUCACAUUACAACCAAGAAAAAUAAGUCGUGAGGACAAGGGCCAGUGUGCAAAUAUUUGCAAAGCAGGAAGACCAAAAGAACCUGGCUCAUGGAUGACAUCAUUAAGUCAGUGGAUUAUCCUUGGAAUUGACUUACCUCUGGGCUAUGCGUGACAUAUGAAACUCAUUAUUAUGGAAAACACUUUUUGCUAGGUUUUGUGUACUUGCAGGUAAAACACUCUAAUGAUUUAACAAAUGUCUUCAUUACAAAAAAAACCCUGAAAUUGCUAUUCAAGUGUAUGUUAGAAUGACACUGUUUUAAAGAUGCGUUGAUUUGAUUCUACUAGGAAAGCAAAUCCUCUACAAACUUGAGUUCUUGAUCAUUGGCAUGAUCAGUUGCCACCACUGAGUUUUUGCACUAUUGCUGAGAAUCAUAGAGAACAUUUGGAGCAGAUAGGAGGGAUUCUGCGUUGUGGACUAGUCUGUCAUUGACUGAGAUGGCUUGCAUUUGGCCAUUAUUAUUAUCAUCAUCAUUAACAUCAACUCUUUGGUAAUCACUGGUGCUCUCUGGUCCUCAGUUUUCUUAUGAGUGAGGUGAUGUGAUUACAUAGGUUGGUUUCUAAAAAUU
rnacentral:lncRNA from 10 species